rnacentral:rRNA from 1 species
GUUAGAACGCUCGUAGUCGGAUUUCGGGGCGGGGCGACCGGUCUGCCGAUGGGUACGCACUGGUCGGCGCGUCCUUCCUUCCGGAGACCGUGCCUACUCUUAACUGAGCGGGGGCGGGAGACGGAUCGUUUACUUUGAAAAAAUCAGAGUGUUUCAAGCAGGCAGCUCGCUCUUGCAUGGAUUAGCAUGGGAUAAUGAAAUAGGACUUUGGUGCUAUUUUGUUGGUUUCGAACACCGAAGUAAUGAUUAACAGGGACAGUCAGGGGCACUCGUAUUCCGCCGAGAGAGGUGAAAUUCUCAGACCAGCGGAAGACGAACUACUGCGAAAGCAUUUGCCAGGGAUGUUUUCACUGAUCAAGAACGAAAGUUAGGGGAUCGAAGAGGAUCAGAUACCCUCGUAGUCUUAACCAUAAACCAUGCCGACUAGGGAUUGGGGGAUGUUCACAUAUCGACUCCCUCAGCACCUUACGGGAAACUAAAGUCUUUGGGUUCCGGGGGGAGUAUGGUCGCAAGGCUGAAACUUAAAGGAAUUGACGGAAGGGCACCACCAGGUGUGGAGCCUGCGGCUUAAUUUGACUCAACACGGGGAAACUUACCAGGUCCAGACAUUGUGAGGAUUGACAGAUUGAGAGCUCUUUCUUGAUUCGAUGGGUGGUGGUGCAUGGCCGUUCUUAGUUGGUGGAGUGAUUUGUCUGGUUAAUUCCGUUAACG